rnacentral:sRNA from 1 species
GCCUGUCCCGGACUGCCAGGUGUCAGACGGAGCGACGGGCCGGCCGCAGCCUCAGCCAUGCGUCCCUCGGCGGCGGGCAGGCUCCUCUUGGCCUGCAGCCUUGCUUUCAUGCCCUUCUUCACAGUGUACUCAGCAUGGCAUAAGGAAAGAGCAGACACGGUUCCUGCCCUCAUAUGCUUACAGUCUACAGAACAGUGCUGGGGACACAGUCCUGAGUGUUGCCUCCUGAUCAGCCACUUACUGACUGCCUGGCCUCAGGAAAGCAGCUGAGCUUAUCUGUUCUUAGUCUCCUGGGAGAUUAAGAUGAGUGACCUAGAGGAGAAGGAUGUUGAUGAAUUCAGCUCCAGUGGUUUUAAGUGCCCAACAUGCUUUGCAGUGCAAGGAAGGAAAUGUGAUACAGAACUCAAAUGGUGUGCAGCAGGUAAAGUGUAUUGAAGUCUCUGGCAUCAUAAACACAGGGCACAAUAAGAGAAACUGGUUAUUUUAUGAAGGCUUUGGCUGGAAUGGUGUGCUUUCCUUUAAGGAAUCAAACUUGACUUAUGGAGACAAUAAAAGCUACUUGGGAAAACCGGCCUCAUACCUUGUCUACACAGUCCCUGUGCAGGAUUCCUGACCUGUGGUAAGUAAAGCAUGUCACUUUCUGACAGGC